GCGCCCGAGUAUCAUGGGAACAGGUGCGAUGUAGGCAUGGUGGAAAGGGUGGCAGUGUCGGCAUGAGAGAAAGGAAGGGCGGCGAUGGGUGAAGGUGCACUGGAGGGAAAGGGAGAUCACGGCGGGGCUAUCUCCGGCGAUGAAGGUGUGGAUGGCGAUGAGAGAACGUGGAGGAGAGAAUGGCUGGUUAUGUGGUCAUGAGAGUAGUUAGGGCUUUGGUGAUAGAAUAUUUUAUGGUGAGAGAAAGGCGUUCAGGUAAUAGAAUUUUAAUGGCUGAAUUCCCAUGGAGAAAUGGUGGAUUUCGGUGGUCAUGUGGGAAACUUAUAGCUGAAAAUCAGUGAAGAAAAAGCGAUAAAGUUGGCUGCUUAAUGAAGAUGAGCUGAACAUGGCUUGAAAGGUCGAAUUUUGGAAGAUCCUUAGCUUCUUUACUAUCACAAACACAAGCAGCAGAAGAGGCCAAGCGAGCUUGUGCUGCUGCUCAGGCCCAAAAUGAGGAACUAACCACAAAGCUUGGUGAUGCAGGAAGAAAGUGGAUCAACUCCAGGAUUCAGUGCAGAGGCUUGAAGAGAAGCUUUCUAAUUUAGAAUCAGAGAAUCAAGUACUUCGUCAACAGGCACUGGCCAUAUCACCAACUGCUAAAGCUUUAUCUGCACGACCAAAAACACCAAUUCUUCAGAGAACUCCUGAGAAUGGAAAUGUUCUAAAUGGAGAAGCAAAGAAACAAUUGGAUUCAAGUCUUGCCCUUUCUUCUCCACAGGAACCUGUAUCUGAGGAAAAGCCCCAGAAAUCUCUCAAUGAGAAGCAGCAGGAAAACCAAGACCUGCUAAUCAAGUGUAUUUCACAAGAUCUAGGAUUCUCUGGGGGCAGGCCUAUUGCUGCUUGCCUGAUUUACAAAUCCCUUCUCCAAUGGAGGUCAUUUGAGGUUGAAAGAACCAGUGUAUUUGAUCGUAUCAUUCAGAAAAUAGGUGCAGCAAUAGAGGUAUAACUGACCUCUGUUUUACUUGGUUCCUAUAUCUUGGAUGUUUGAAAAUAGUGAUUACUGUCAAUCCCCUUGUUGGACCUGGUAAACUGAAUUCAAUUUGCUUAAUGGCACCAAGAUAUUUCACUGGAA